AUUGAACGCUGGCGGCAGGCCUAACACAUGCAAGUCGAGCGGAUGAUGGGAGCUUGCUCCUGGAUUCAGCGGCGGACGGGUGAGUAAUGCCUAGGAAUCUGCUGGUAGUGGGGGACAGCGUUUCGAAAGGAACGCUAAUACCGCAUACGUCCUACGGGAGAAAGCAGGGGACCUUCGGGCCUUGCGCUAUCAGAUGAGCCUAGGUCGGAUUAGCUAGUAGGUGAGGUAAAGGCUCACCUAGGCGACGAUCCGUAACUGGUCUGAGAGGAUGAUCAGUCACACUGGAACUGAGACACGGUCCAGACUCCUACGGGAGGCAGCAGUGGGGAAUAUUGGACAAUGGGCGAAAGCCUGAUCCAGCCAUGCCGCGUGUGUGAAGAAGGUCUUCGGAUUGUAAAGCACUUUAAGUUGGGAGGAAGGGCAGUAAGUUAAUACCUUGCUGUUUUGACGUUACCGACAGAAUAAGCACCGGCUAACUUCGUGCCAGCCGCCGCAGUAACAC
rnacentral:rRNA from 1 species